rnacentral:pre_miRNA from 1 species
UCGUGCCGAUUAUUACAGAUGAUGGUGAUGAUGAUGAAAACGAUCAAUAUAAUCAUUUGCCAUCAUCAUCAUCAUCAUCAUCUUUUCCCGAU